CCUGUGCUUGGCAAACCGGCAGUCGUAACUCAGCAGGGACAGCAGCUUUUGAUUUCCAAGGAGCUACAUUUGUGAGGCAUGGAGGAAGGAGAAUGGAAAAAGAAAAUUCUAUGCUUCCCAUAACCAAUCAGUUCAGCCCAGACUUAUCCCAGAUGGCCGUGUCUCGUUUCCCUAAAUCCUCACUGGAGAAGAUGCCCACUAAGCUUCUUGGGAAGAAAAUAGAGAGAGAAAGGAUGAAGAAUGAAGGAUGAAAGCAAAAGUUCACUUACCACAUCUACAAAGGCGAUGGUCCUUCAACAACAAGAUCAUAAAUCCUUGAGCUUCUCUUGACGUUAUCUCUGCCGAGGUUCAGAGUUUAAGAUUGCGUUCCAUGAGCCACCGGCCGCGCCACCAAAGAGUUCCCGACUGCCAAGAUCCGCCAAGCACCCCACCCUCUGCCAGAUUGCCUUCAAACCUGUUUCUCAGAGG